GACGAACGCUGGCGGCGUGCUUAACACAUGCCAGUCGAACGGGAAGGCCCGGUUUUUGUGGGGUGCUCGAGUGGCGAACGGGUGAGUAACACGUGGGUAACCUGCCCUUGGCUUUGGGCUACCUUCAGUAAACUGGAGCUAAUACCGGAUAGGAGCUCCUGCUGCCAGGUGGGGGCUGGAGAGUUUGGGCGGUUGGGGUGGGACGCGCGGCUUCUCAGGCUGUUGGUGGGGUAGUGGCUUAGCAAGGGUUUCGCGGGUAGCAGGCCUGAGAGGGUGACCGGCCACAUUGGGAGGGAGAUGCGGCCGAGACUCCUACGGGAGGCAGCAGUGGGGAAUAUUGCACAAUGGGCGGAAGCCUGAUGCAGCAACGCCGCGUGCGGGAUGACGACCUUCGGGUUGUAAACCGCUUUCGCCUGUGACGAAGCGAGAGUGACGGUAAUGGGUAAAGAAGCACCGGCUAACUACGUG
rnacentral:rRNA from 1 species